rnacentral:rRNA from 1 species
AGAGUUUGAUCAUGGCUCAGGAUGAACGCUAGCGGCAGGCUUAAUACAUGCAAGUCGAGGGGCAGCACGAAUAGCAAUAUUUGGUGGCGACCGGCGCACGGGUGCGUAACACGUAUACAAUCUACCUUAAACAGGGGGAUAGCCUUUCGAAAGAGAGAUUAAUACCCCGUAAUAAAUUGAAUGGCAUCAUUUGAUUUUGAAAGCUCCGGCGGUUUGAGAUGAGUAUGCGUCUGAUUAGCUAGUUGGUGAGGUAACGGCUCACCAAGGCGACGAUCAGUAGGGGAUCUGAGAGGACUAACCCCCACACUGGUACUGAGACACGGACCAGACUCCUACGGGAGGCAGCAGUAAGGAAUAUUGGUCAAUGGAGGCAACUCUGAACCAGCCAUGCCGCGUGCAGGAUGACGGCCCUAUGGGUUGUAAACUGCUUUUAUACAAGAGAAAACCCUGGUACGUGUACCAGGUUGAUAGUAUCGUAAGAAUAAGCAUCGGCUAACUUCGUGCCAGCAGCCGCGGUAAGACGAAGGAUGCAAGCGUUAUCCGGAUUCAUUGGGUUUAAAGGGUGCGUAGGCGGACUUGUAAGUCAGUGGUGAAAUCUCUUUGCUUUAACAAAGAAACUGCCAUUGAUACUGCAGGUCUAGAGUAUAGAUGACGUUGGCCGGAAUAUGACAUGUAGUGGGUGAAAUACUUA